UUAGUAGUUUAAGAAGAAGAAAGAAGGCGGAUUUUCAUCAAGACUAAUGGAAAGCAGCAGCAGCGCUGGCAGUAGUGCUGAGUACAGCUUUAAAUGAAGCAGGGAGCAUACAGAGGAGUUGAUAAAACUCCGUGGGCAAAAUAACCACCUCUUUACCGGGGCCAAAAACACUGCUGUAGUCGGACGGAGAACAAUCCUGCAAAAAACGGGCCUGGAGGGUGAAGUUGAGCCACAACAGGCCAAAAAAAAGUGGGACAACUUGAAAAAAAAAAUACAAAGAAUGCAAAGAUCCAGGGACAGGGCAGGGGGUCAGUGGGAAGCCUACUGCUGCCACCUGGCCAUGGUUUGUCCUCAUGUUCUGUGUUGCUGUUAUUGUUAAAUUAAAUUAUUAAAUUGUUUAUAAAAGUUA